rnacentral:lncRNA from 1 species
CAAAGAAGCACUUACCAACCUAAUCAAGCUGUGGGGGGAAGAGAAGAGAGAGACAAUUGGUGGGAUGUUGCCCUUGAGCAGUGUCCUUGAAGAAUGGAAGAGCAGCAGCAGGAAGGAGAGCUCCUGCUUGUUGCCCUCUGAAUUGAGGCUCACCAUCAACCUGAAGGGAUGUCUGUUGUGCCUCACGUAGUUCACAGUGUGCAUUCAGUAUCAGACUACAACCAGGUUACCAUAACUGAAAUAGGUGUAGCAACACAUGAAUGUCUUCCCUCUGAGAAAUGCACUGUACCAUUUUAUCAUCUGGUGCAAUAAGAUGCCAUCAUACAGUGAGAUCAUCCUUCUGAUCCUGUCCAGAAAACAUAUAAAUACUAUGAUUCCCAGCAUUAUGAUGUCAUAGCACCUAUAAAUACUCAAAGAACAGAAAUGCAUCCUUCUAAAUGGAGAGUUUAUAGUACUCUUGUGGAUACCUUCCAGCUACAGGAUGAGCAGCUCAUAAUUCUUUUUUGACAGAAUAAAUGGGAAAUCCAUGAUUCCUAUCA